CUCAGGAGGCUGAGGUGGGAGGAUUGCUUGAGCCCGGGAGGAGAGGCUGCAGUGAGCCAAGAUUGUGCCAUUGCACAGCCUGGGUGACUGAGCCAGACCUUGUCUCAAAAAAACCCCCCACAUCAUUCUUUGUCUAUUCCAGUUCUUAGUGAAUUCUCUCCACAGAAUGCUUGAGGGGAGCUAUUAGGAAAGUUAUACUCCUGGCCUUUCCCUGUUUAUAUAAGCCUUUCCUCUAUUUUGUAAGCUAGUUCAAGCUUGAUUUUUGUCACUUGCAACUAUGGGAAUUCCAAUCAAUAAAAAAAAAUUAUGAGUAUGAUGCUACAAAUGGGAAAACAGAGGUGUGUAACAGGAGUAUGUCACCCUUGAGGAAUGGACACAUU
rnacentral:lncRNA from 1 species